rnacentral:rRNA from 1 species
AGCGAACGCUGGCGGCAGGCUUAACACAUGCAAGUCGAACGCUCGUAGCAAUACGGGAGUGGCAGACGGGUGAGUAACACGUGGGAACGUGCCCUUCGGUUCGGAAUAACCCAGGGAAACUUGGGCUAAUACCGGAUAAGUCCGCGAGGAGAAAGAUUCAUCGCCGGAGGAUCGGCCCGCGUCCGAUUAGCUAGUUGGUGAGGUAACGGCUCACCAAGGCUGCGAUCGGUAGCUGGUCUGAGAGGAUGAUCAGCCACACUGGGACUGAGACACGGCC